rnacentral:rRNA from 1 species
GAUCCUGGAGUUGUAGGCUUUGCCUACCAUCUCUUACCCAUGUCUUUUGAGUACCUUCGUUUCCUCGGCGGGUCCGCCCGCCGAUUGGACAAACUUAAACCCUUUGUAAUUGAAAUCAGCGUCUGAAAAAACAUAAUAGUUACAACUUUCAACAACGGAUCUCUUGGUUCUGGCAUCGAUGAAGAACGCAGCGAAAUGCGAUAAGUAGUGUGAAUUGCAGAAUUCAGUGAAUCAUCGAAUCUUUGAACGCACAUUGCGCCCCUUGGUAUUCCAUGGGGCAUGCCUGUUCGAGCGUCAUUUGUACCUUCAAGCUCUGCUUGGUGUUGGGUGUUUGUCUCGCCUUUGCGUGUAGACUCGCCUUAAAACAAUUGGCAGCCGGCGUAUUGAUUUCGGAGCGCAGUACAUCUCGCGCUUUGCACUCAUAACGACGACGUCCAAAAAGUACUUUUUACACUCUUGACCUCGGAUCAGGUAGGGAUACCCGCUGAACUUAAGCAUAUCAAUAAGCGGAGGA